rnacentral:lncRNA from 1 species
CUGAUUCAAGUCCUGUUCCAAUCGUCUGUCCCUUACUGUGGUCCUGCACAAUAAAAGAGUCAUCAAUAAAAUAUAUACCGCAAUGGAGGGCAUGAGUCAAACGACUUACAAAUGCAAGAUUAAAAGGACAGCCAGGGACAUAAAGAACAGAAUCUAGAGUGACAGAGGGCAGAGGAUUCGCUUGUCCAACUCCUUUUGCUUUAGUUUGAGACCCAUUAGCUAAAGUAACGUUGGGAAGAAACUGUGAAUACGCAAUAUUUGACANN